CCUACGGGUGGCAGCAGUGAGGAAUAUUGGUCAAUGGCCGUAAGGCUGAACCAGCCAAGUAGCGUGAGGGAAGACUGCCCUAUGGGUUGUAAACCUCUUUUAUGCGGGGAUAAAGGUGUCCACGUGUGGAUGUUUGCAGGUACCGCAUGAAUAAGGACCGGCUAAUUCCGUGCCAGCAGCCGCGGUAAUACGGAGGAUGCGAGCGUUAUCCGGUUUUAUUGGGUUUAAAGGGUGCGUAGGCGGUCCGUUAAGUCAGCGGUAAAAUUGCGGGGCUCAACCCCGUCGAGCCGUUGAAACUGGCAGACUUGAGUUGGCGAGAAGUACGCGGAAUGCGCGGUGUAGCGGUGAAAUGCAUAGAUAUCGCGCAGAACUCCGAUUGCGAAGGCAGCGUACCGGCGCCAGACUGACGCUGAGGCACGAAAGCGUGGGGAUCGAACAGGAUUAGAUACCCCUGUAGUC
rnacentral:rRNA from 1 species